rnacentral:rRNA from 1 species
UACAGAGGUCUCAAGCGUUGUUCGGAUUCAUUGGGCGUAAAGGGUGCGUAGGCGGCGCGGUAAGUCGGGUGUGAAAUCUCGGGGCUUAACUCCGAAACUGCAUUCGAUACUGCCGUGCUUGAGGACUGGAGAGGAGACUGGAAUUUACGGUGUAGCGGUGAAAUGCGUAGAUAUCGUAAGGAGGACCAGUGGCGAAGGCGGGUCUCUGGACAGUUCCUGACGCUGAGGCACGAAGGUCAGGGGAGCAAAACGGG